UGGGGAAUCUUGCGCAAUGGGCGAAAGCCUGACGCAGCGACACCGCGUGGGGGACGAAGGCCUUUCAGGUCGUAAACCCCUUUCGGCAGGGACGAAGCGAUCUCGUGACGGUACCUGCAGAAGAAGCCUCGGCUAACUACGUGCCAGCAGCCGCGGUAACACGUAGGAGGCGAGCGUUGUCCGGAAUCAUUGGGCGUAAAGAGCGCGCAGGCGGCUUGGCAAGUCGGGUGUGAAAUCCCGGGGCUCAACCCCGGGACUGCAUUCGAUACUGUCAGGCUAGAGGUAGGUAGGGGAGAUCGGAAUUCCUGGUGUAGCGGUGAAAUGCGUAGAUAUCAGGAGGAACACCGGUGGCGAAGGCGGAUCUCUGGGCCUUACCUGACGCUCAGGCGCGAAAGCUAGGGGAAGCGAACAGGAUUAGAUACC
rnacentral:rRNA from 1 species